rnacentral:rRNA from 1 species
GACGAACGCUGGCGGCGUGGAUUAGGCAUGCAAGUCGAACGGUAUCAUCCUUUCGGGGGUGAGAGAGUGGCGAACUGGUGAGUAACACGUAGGUUAUCUACCCUCAAGACGGGGACAACCCAGGGAAACUUGGGCUAAUACCGGAUGUGAGCAACUUUUAGUUGUUUGAAAGGUGGCGUAAGCUGUCGCUUGGGGAUGAGCCUGCGUCCUAUUAGUUAGUUGGUGAGGUAACGGCUCACCUAGGCAAUGAUAGGUAGGCGGCCUUAACGGGUGGUCGCCCACACUGGGAUUGAGAUACGGCCCAGACUCCUACGGGAGGCAGCAGUCGAGAAUAGUCUACAAAUGGUCGGAAGACUGAUAGUGCGACGCCGCGUGAACGAUGAAUCCCUUCGGGUGUAAAAGUUCUUUUUAAUUAUGUGAGCAGUGCUUCUUAUAUUAAACAGUAAUGGGGAGAGAGAUUAAUUAGCUAUAUGAAUAAAGCAACGGCUAAACUCCGUCGCCAGCAGCCGCGGUAAUA